GGGGUUAUAGCUCAGUGGUAGAGUGCUGGCCUAGGAUUCAUGAGGCCCUGGGUUCAAUCCCCAGUACCACCA
rnacentral:tRNA from 1 species